UGCACGGUAGUGCAGUUGGUAGCACUGCUACCUUGCAGCAAGAAGGUCCUCAGUUCGACUCUCGGCCGGGGGGCUUUCUGCAU